rnacentral:rRNA from 1 species
CCACUGGAGUACGGAAACAGGGCACGUUAAAAAUGUCUGGGAUGACUUGUAGUUAGCCGCGAAAUUCGAAACGAGCUGGGAGAUAGCUGGUUCUCUCCGAAAUAGCUUUAGGGCUAGCGUCGCUGUUAAGUCACUUGGAUGUAGAGCACUGUUUGGGUGAGGGGUCCAUCUCGGAUUACCAAUCUCAGAUAAACUCCGAAUGCCAACGAGAUAUCAUCGGCAGUCAGACUGCGAGUGCUAAGAUCCGUAGUCGAAAGGGAAACAGCCCAGACCACCAGCUAAGGUCCCAAAAUAACUGUUAAGUGGAAAAGGAUGUGGGGUUGCACAGACAACUAGGAUGUUAGCUUAGAAGCAGCUAUUCAUUCAAAGAGUGCGUAAUAGCUCACUAGUCGAGUGACCCUGCGCCGAAAAUGUACCGGGGCUAAAACAGUUUACCGAAGCUGUGGAUGACACAAAAGUGUCAUGGUAGGAGAGCGUUCUAUGUGUGAAGAAGGUGUACCGUGAGGAGCGCUGGAACGCAUAGAAGUGAGAAUGCCGGUAUGAGUAGCGAAAGACAGGUGAGAAUCCUGUCCACCGUAAGACUAAGGUUUCCAGGGGAAGGCUCGUCCGCCCUGGGUUAGUCGGGACCUAAGGAGAGACCGAAAGGUGUAUCCGAUGGCCAACAGGUUGAUAUUCCUGUACUAGAGUAUAUAGUGAUGGAGGGACGCAGUAGGCUAACUAAACCGGACGAUUGGAAGAGUCCGGCUAAGCAGUGAGGUGUAAGAUGAGUCAAAUGCUUAUCUUUAUAACAUUGAGCUGUGAUGGGGAGCGAAUUUUAGUAGCGAAGUUAGUGAUGUCACACUGCCAAGAAAAGCUUCUAGCGUUUAAUGAUACUCUACCCGUACCGCAAACCGACACAGGUAGUCGAGGCGAGUAGCCUCAGGUGAUCGAGAGAACUCUCGUUAAGGAACUCGGCAAAAUGACCCCGUAACUUCGGGAGAAGGGGUGCUGACUUAGGUCCGUGCUUGAACGUUCAGCCAUGUUACGCCGAUAUCUGAAA